rnacentral:rRNA from 1 species
UACGAAGGGGGCUAGCGUUGCUCGGAAUCACUGGGCGUAAAGCGCACGUAGGCGGCUUAUUAAGUCAGGGGUGAAAUCCUGGAGCUCAACUCCAGAACUGCCUUUGAUACUGAUGAGCUUGAGUUCGGGAGAGGUGAGUGGAACUGCGAGUGUAGAGGUGAAAUUCGUAGAUAUUCGCAAGAACACCAGUGGCGAAGGCGGCUCACUGGCCCGAUACCUGACGCUGAGGCACGAAAGCGUGGGGAGCAAACAGG